CCUACGGGGGGCAGCAGUGGGGAAUAUUGCACAAUGGGCGCAAGCCUGAUGCAGCCAUGCCGCGUGUGUGAAGAAGGCCUUCGGGUUGUAAAGCACUUUCAGCGGGGAGGAAGGCGUUAAGGUUAAUAACCUUGGCGAUUGACGUUACCCGCAGAAGAAGCACCGGCUAACUCCGUGCCAGCAGCCGCGGUAAUACGGAGGGUGCAAGCGUUAAUCGGAAUUACUGGGCGUAAAGCGCACGCAGGCGGUCUGUCAAGUCGGAUGUGAAAUCCCCGGGCUCAACUUGGGAACUGCAUUCGAAACUGGCAGGCUAGAGUCUUGUAGAGGGGGGUAGAAUUCCAGGUGUAGCGGUGAAAUGCGUAGAGAUCUGGAGGAAUACCGGUGGCGAAGGCGGCCCCCUGGACAAAGACUGACGCUCAGGUGCGAAAGCGUGGGGAGCAAACAGGAUUAGAUACCCUUGUAGUC
rnacentral:rRNA from 1 species